rnacentral:lncRNA from 1 species
CAGAAUGAUGUUUGUUUGUGACAUGUCUAUGUGUGAAUUUAUAUGCUUAUGUGAUUAUGCUUGUUUAUGUGCUUGAUUGCUAUGAGUUUAAUCCGAGUUGAGUGUUAAGUCGAGAGUAGGACUUGUGAAUCCUUAGGAGUUAAGUAUACCUAGGGAUUGAGAUUUAUUUGGGUAAAUAGAAGAUGAGUGAUAAGUUAUAGUUUGAGACGAGAUUGGAU